GCCCUCCUCAGCACCCUGCCCGGGCCUGGGCGUUCAGCCCGUGCCGCGGCCGACUGGCCAGUGCCUUUGAGGCCAUUGCUGCGCCGCGGCCUGCCGGCGCACGGAGAUACAUCCCCAGGGAAAACAGCUUGGUGGCCAGCAAUGGGGACAGGAUGCCGAGUUCAGUGCUAAAGCGGCGUUCCUGUAUCGGGAAAUUGAACCUUCCAGCGCCUCUUCCUCACCUCGUGCGCUUGCAGUGAUUCUGCCUUUUGUCUGCCGUGUCUGUCGCAGAGCGCAGACACCGUUCAGGGCAGAGCCUGGCUGCUGUUCAUUGUGUCUGCACACUAUUUACUCAACACCGGGCACACUUGCUGCUUUCGCAUUGUUAAAAUAUUCAGUAAGAUAGAUAAGACCAGUGGACAAAACGAAACUGAAAUAAUGAGGUUUAUGCAUUUGCCUUAACGGUGGCUGUUGAGUAAUUGUGUUCCUUGAAAGUGAAACUUAUGGAACACAAAUUUAGUAAUUUUAUUUGGCAAUUCCAGCUCUUUUAAAAAAGGACUUUGUGUACAACCAAGCUGUUUACCCAUCCUCUGGAAAUGUGAUUCUUUUGGGUGCCCUGGAGCAAUGCAGGGAACAGGGCUCCUAAUAUGAGGUGAGUGCCUCAGAAUAGUCACCUCUCUCACCUCAGGCCCUGCAUCAGGAGCAGGAGUUACAGCUGGAUGGCCUCUGCCUACAUCCCUUUUGAUGCUGUGGUAGGGUUCCACGACAGAGCCAGUUCCCAGCUGCUUUUGCCACGAGCAGCCCUCAGCCGUGUUUGCAAGAGCAGAUAAAAAGCUGUCCUGCCCCCUGUCAAACCAUUCCCCUGUGUGCCACCUGGCUCAUUCUUAACGCUGGGCUAUGUCUGCAAGGGGGCAGAGUGGAGCGGGGUCAGGUCACCCCCCCACUGGUGCCCUCAGCUGGGACUGCUGCCCUGGAAAGCAAUUGUGUAAGGUUGCACCUACUGCUGGGAAGGGUCUCCCCUCUCUGAGACAAAGGACUAAAUGAACUGGAAGCAUCUCAUUUCAUGCUUCUGUACCACUGUUGGAGCAUGCUUGUUGCAUGCCAGCAGUGGGAGUCUUAACCAAACCCAAAAGAAGUUAUCUGUCAGCCUAGUCACCUAGUGAGAAGCUUAAUAUUGUUUCAGGCUUGAAUAAUGAAGAUAAAGCCUUUGUGUUACAACUGAAAUUUUAUUUACUCAACCACUAGUUUUCUUAGAAUUAAUGUAAAAAUCACUGUUUCAGUAAAGAAGACUUUUCUGGGUUUCUACUUAACUACUAGUCUUAAGCAGUACUUCAGUAUCUGACAGGGGGAGUGUUUGAUGUUAAUUAUAUUUUGAUGUAAGCAUAUUAAUGUAAAAAUUUGCUUUUAUGCACAGUCUCCUAUGUGAGUUUAUGUUUUUGAAAUAUGAACCUAAGCAAGGAAAAAAAUAAACCAUUACAGUCUUCAGAGUUAUAAUCUGUUUGUCAUAGAACAAAGUACCUUGUCAUUUCCCACUACAUGGCUCUUCCAUAUAACUCUACCUUUGCAACAUUUACUUUGUUAUACUUGAUUGAGUAUAGUACUACAAAGUGUUAUUUAUCCAACCUAACAUUUGUUCCAAGAAGAAAAAGUAAAUAUUAUGGGCUAAACUCCAUUUUAGAUUCUUAUAAACAUAGCUCUCAGAAAUGUAAGCCUGAACUCAAACAUUCAUGACAUCAGUGGCCUCUGAAGCAAAACAGAAGUGGAUUCUGGAUCCAGCAAGAGGAGUAAAGUUGGGCUUCUAUCCUUAGAGUUUCUUUCCUUACUAAGCUUCUACUUAACACACCCAGAUCUGGAAGAAAUGUAAUGCACUGUAUUUUCUCCCCGAGCUGGAAUAGUUUUGGCACAUAUAUCUGCAGACCUGUUUGGCUAGGGAGCUAAGCAAUGGUUAAGAUUAUGCACAUCUGUCAGUUAAAUCAAAGAUCCCAAGGCUAAAUGCAACAUUCAGAGGCAACACGUAGGCCCAUGAAUUUUAUGGAAGACAGUGUCUAGACACCGAUAAGCAGUUCUCUUGCAUCCACAUGCUAUAAAACUGUAUAUAAUUGUUCUCAUUUUAGUAACAGCUUUCAGAAAAUUACUGCUAGGAAUACUUAAGAAGAAACAUUUUAUGCCAGUGACCUUAAAAUUGUAGUACAGAGAUCUAAUUGUGUUUUCCAGUCACUUAUGCCAUGGAAGUAAAGAGUAUCUAUUUUAAGAUAGAAGAAUUCAUUAUAUAGGAAAAAGACGCUUUUUCUUAUAAGAAAAAUAAUUGAUUUGCAAAAACGGUGGAUGUGCUAUUCUUUUGUAAAUACAUUGCAAGUGUUAAUGCUUAUUUUUAUAAUGUUACUCUUUGUGUAUUUUCUGACUUCAAAUAUAUUAACAGGAUAACAUGGGAGAAGCAAUAACUAUCUACAUGUGUCUGUGUAUGGGCCAUUCAGACUGUCUGUGUAUAAUUUUUUUCUAACUACAUGGUCUUAUUUUCAAAAUUGUAAAAUAUGACAUUGAAAUUAUAAGCCUGCAAGUAAUUUACAACCAUCUCCUUUCUGGCUUAUACAUUCCUAGACAAUUUUUUCUGGCACAGAUGGUAACAUCAUAACUGCAGAUCUCAUUGCCAUCCAUUGCUAUGGCUGUUCCUGGGUGUGGGAAGAGGUGAUGAUUAGCUAAGACAAAACUUGUUGUUCACAACAUCUUGAAAUUUUGUUUUUAUUGAUGAUAAAAAUCGCUUUCAAAUAAACUGAAGAAUUUAAUGGGAAA